GGCACCGCUGGCCUGUUUACCGAGCUGUGCAGGCGAGCGCCGGCGCCCUCUACUGGACGGAAGUAAAUGUCCCUCUGAGUGUAACUAUUGUCGCCUGUGGAUGAGCUAAUGGAUUCACUUUGAGCUCGUAGAAAGGACACGGUGUCGUGGGGAUCCCAGGCAGUCCUCUGACAUCUGACAUACCGCCAGCUUGCCUAAGGAUGUUAUUUCUUUGAGGGGGGCGUCAAGACACAAAACCUUUUCCUUUAAGGGAUUUGCUCACCCAGGAGGAGAUUUGAUGGUACUUACGGACUGGGGCUUCACUCCGCAUCUGCCUCUCCGUGAGAGCCUGUCUCCCCAGGCUGGCUGGUCCUCAGGACACAGGUGCUGCUGUUGUGGCUGCGUGCAUCCUAUGUGUGGCGACUCCACCUUCCAGCUAAAAUCCCAGCAAAGGGUCUCAUCCGGAGGCCCCGGGGCACACUUCUUUCAUCCGUGUGCCUUCCCUCGUUCUCUCGGGGUCCAGAGCAGCGAGGAAGGAAUGAAGAACCUGGGUCUGCCACCGUCUGUCGGUCCUCACCGCUGCAUCUCAGCUAAGGCUGCAGAAGUCAGUGCAGUAGCGGAACUGGCUAGGGCUCCUCGCGGUUGCCACGGUAACCAGGAGCAGGCUCCUGCCCUGGUGGCGGAGGAAGGCUGUGGAGAAAAGUUGCCAGUGUGACUUCGGCACUGACAGGAUUGGCGCCAUGGCUCAGGAGACCGCCACUCUACAUCAGAGUCUGUGCUCCCUGGGAGUGAGCAGGUGCUCAGCUCCAGGUCUAGAGUGUGGGAAGGGAACCCGUUUUUUUCUAAGGUCUGACAAUUUGUUCCUGGCCUUUCUUGGUUCUGCCUCUUAAUCCUCUUGUUGUCCUAUAAAAAUUUACAUUUACUAAUUUACAGAUUAAAGGCCUAAGAAAACAAACAAGAAGUGACUUGCUUGUGAAUGAGUCACUUUUAUACAGCAG
rnacentral:lncRNA from 1 species